rnacentral:rRNA from 1 species
CUGACGCAGCCAUGCCGCGUGUAUGAUGAAGGUCUUAGGAUUGUAAAAUACUUUCACCGGUGAAGAUAAUGACUGUAGCCGGAGAAGAAGCCCCGGCUAACUUCGUGCCAGCAGCCGCGGUAAUACGAAGGGGGCUAGCGUUGCUCGGAAUUACUGGGCGUAAAGGGAGCGUAGGCGGACAUUUAAGUCAGGGGUGAAAUCCCGGAGCUCAACUCCGGAACUGCCUUUGAUACUGGGUGUCUUGAGUGUGAGAGAGGUAUGUGGAAUUCCGAGUGUAGAGGUGAAAUUCGUAGAUAUUCGGAAGAACACCAGUGGCGAAGGCGACAUACUGGCUCAUUACUGACGCUGAGGCUCGAAAGCGUGGGGAGCAAACAGGAUUAGAUACCCUGGUAGUCCACGCCGUAAACGAUGAUUGCUAGUUGUCGGGGAGUUUACUUCUCGGUGACGCAGCUAACGCAUUAAGCAAUCCGCCUGGGGAGUACGGUCGCAAGAUUAAAACUCA